AGUUGACAUUUUACAAUCUUCGCGAUCACUACUUUUGUCUGAUAAUUAACUUAACCUUUCGACCCCGUAUAUAGAGAGUGUGUGUGUCGCCGUCAGUUCCCUGUUGGAUUAUAUCAUCUCUAGGUGUCCAGCAGGUUGUAUCAUCUAUUUAAUAUUCAAUUGCUUAAUAAAUAUUUAUUUAUAUCGUUGUUAACCUAAAGUGUUAUAUAUAGUGAAACCACGACUUCAACAUCUUCGUAUAAUUUCGUAUGUAGCGACUUGAUCACUGAGACAUCAAAUUAUCACGAUUCGUGCAUAUUUAUGUUCUAUCCGCCCUUUGUUGUCAACCAUUGG